GGAGGACCGAACCCACUGAUGUUGAAAAAUCAGGGGAUGAGCUGUGGGUCGGAGUGAAAGGCUAAUCAAACCUGGAAAUAGCUGGUUCUCCCCGAAAUGCAUUGAGGUGCAGCCUCGGAUGAUUUCCGUUGGAGGUAGAGCACUGAAAGGGCUAGGGCCCGCGAGGGUACCAAACCCUAUCAAACUCCGAAUUCCGAUGAGAACAGUCCGGGAGUGAGACGGUGGGAGAUAAGUUUCAUCGUCGAGAGGGAAAGAGCCCAGACUACCGGCUAAGGCCCCCAAGUGUGUGCUAAGUGGUCAAGGAUGUGGAUAAUCCCAGACAACCAGGAGGUUGGCUUAGAAGCAGCCACCCUUUAAAGAAAGCGUAAUAGCU
rnacentral:rRNA from 1 species